UACGGAGGGUGCAAGCGUUAAUCGGAAUUACUGGGCGUAAAGCGCACGCAGGUGGCUGAGUCAGUCGAUUGUGAAAGCCCUGGGCUUAGCCUGGGAAUUGCAGUCGAUACUACUCAGCUAGAGUAUGGGAGAGGGUAGUGGAAUUCCCGGUGUAGCGGUGAAAUGCGUAGAUAUCGGGAGGAACAUCAGUGGCGAAGGCGGCUACCUGGCCCAAUACUGACACUCAGGUGGGACAGCGUGGGGAGCAAACAGG
rnacentral:rRNA from 1 species